GACGAACGCUGGCGGCGUGCUUAACACAUGCAAGUCGAACGGAAAGGCCCUGCUUUUGUGGGGUGCUCGAGUGGCGAACGGGUGAGUAACACGUGAGUAACCUGCCCUUGACUUUGGGAUAACUUCAGGAAACUGGGGCUAAUACCGGAUAGGAGCUCCUGCUGCAUGGUGGGGGUUGGAAAGUUUCGGCGGUUGGGGAUGGACUCGCGGCUUAUCAGCUUGUUGGUGGGGUAGUGGCUUACCAAGGCUUUGACGGGUAGCCGGCCUGAGAGGGUGACCGGCCACAUUGGGACUGAGAUACGGCCCAGACGCCUACGGGAGGCAGCAGUGGGGAAUAUUGCACAAUGGGCGGAAGCCUAAUGCAGCAACGCCGCGUGCGGGAUGACGGCCUUCGGGUUGUAAACCGCUUUCGCCUGUGACGAAGCGUGAGUGACGGUAAUGGGUAAAGAAGCACCGGCUAACUACGUG
rnacentral:rRNA from 1 species